AGAAUAUUUUUGCAGGGUCAAAAAAAACCUCAAAAACUCUUCCAAACGGGGCGACGUUUGCGUGUUCAUCGCCAACCAGAACUCUCUUUGGGUCCACGUCAAGCCACGGUGGCAUUAUUCGGCCCCGCCGUCCUCUCGUCUGACGCAUUGAAACGGAACCGUCUCCGCGAAGCCCUAUAAAAAAAGGGGAGGGGCACAAGCGGACGGGAUGACCCGAGGGCGGCUUCCUCCGCCGUGGCCGUACCACCGGUCACCGACGGUCCUUCUCCGGCGCCGGCUUCCUCCGCCUCCGCCUCCGCGACACCCAUCUCCUCCUCUCUUUCUCUUCCUCCGCCAGCCCCUGUUAAACUUCUUCUCACGUGUAUCCGUGGCCCAGAACGCCAGCAUGGAAUGUUAAGGGGGAUCGACGGAGAGCCUAUAGAGAUGCAGAGAGUGAAUAUAAAUGGAGAACAAAUGCUCACGAGAAACCGAGAAUAGAUCGAGUGUAAUGCUUCAGUACUCAAAGCCUGCAUUUCUUGCUGCUAAAACACAAUUGAUGUUCUCCAGCCAUCCAGCUGAAAGCUCGUUCGCUAUACCGUGCUACUAACUGGUUUCUGAGCCAGCAUAUGUGACACCCAGAAAAGCAGAAAUGAAGCAACAAUCCGAUACCAUUGAUGCUUCAAACGCCCAGCCGGAAGUCACAGUUUGUUUGCUAAUUGCUACCUGUAUUGCUGUUCACUCUCAUAUAAACAUCUAGCUGGUGAAAAAGGUCUGCAUACGCAUGAGAAGAAAGGAUUACGUAAAGUUUGAAAGAGGGAGAGGGAGGCAGGCAGGCAAGAGGAAGAUAGAUAUAAGAAACCAAUCUUGAUCUGGCUGGAAUGGCUUCAUGUACUUUGCUACACCACAUGAUUUAUGCAUGUGAAAGCAGAAAGGGAAGAGAGAGGAAGAAACAAGCCAUCUUCUUUUUUUGGUACAAGCAACUAUCUUCUUUUUGAUUUCUAAGAUGUCAGAAAUUAGUGGGAACCCAACCAUCCACAAAAUAAUCCUCUCCAUAUCAAACAUGUGUUUCACAUUUCAAAUAUGUAUUUGAGGUUUUUUUUUCCUAUUAGGGAGCCCUUGCUCGAGGAUUUAUUGUUAAGAAUAAUGCAUAUAAGCAAUUCAAGGGCAUAACCUGAUCUCAUCAUAAUACAGUGCAUGUUUUCUUAUAAAUCAUCUGACAGUAAUAUUCAGCUUGUUUUUACUAAAAAGAUUCUUAACACAGUAAAUUACCAAAGUAGAUGUAACAUCAAGUAUUGAAUUUUAAUAAAUGGAUUAAUUGAGAACCAUUAAAGGUGUGAAUUUGGAAAGAGGAAUGGAUGACACGAACAUAUGAAACAUAGCAUUAUUAUUAUGCAUUAUACAGCAAUUAGUCUUAGAGUUUGGCAUCCUUGGUAAUAAUAUGGAGACAAGGUGGCAAUGAAUUAGGUACCUAAAACUUUUAUUGAUGUAGUAAGCUUAGUUCCUCAGACAACAAAGCAAUGGUUGGUCGGAGAAAGAGAGGCCUUAUAAAGCUCAUCUUGGAACUAAUAUACCUAGUUGAAGACUGCUAAGUGCUAGUAAGUUUUAUGCAACAUUGUUAGCAAGCUUCCAUGAAAUGUCUAUGUUAUCAUCACACGAGUGUGGGUGCACAAUCAACACAAGAUACAACUAUAAAAAAGUCAUCUCUUUAAGGACUUUGAUUUGCGACAAUAAACACAGGACUAAAUUAUGUACCAGUGAAACACUUUCAACUUUGAAAGGUUGAAGCUUGUCGUUGUCAUGCACCAUGAAAUGAUACAAGCAAACUUUUAAAAGUGUAUUAUGUCAUAGGUGACUAGGGUUAUCUUAUAUUCGUAGGCCCAAAAGUGAGAAUAUAGGUCAAAAGUUUACUCCUUUGACUGAAUUACUAGUACAUGUAGCUAGGUCUUAGAAAAUCCCACCUUUGUUGUAGAACAAGCUUGAAAAGGGUUAAGCUAGAUCCUAAGAGCAAUUCAGGGGGUAGAAUUUUCACACAGAUAGGAAUCUUGACAAAUGUUAUAAUUCAGAAUUUUAAGGCAUUAAGAAGUAGUAACAAAAGUUGGCUAUACGCUAUAUUGAUAACAAGCAAAUUCUUCAAGCCCAAUGAAUGGCUCUAAACAUGGAAUGUGGGUGUCUUGAAUAUGAAAAACCCAAGUUCUAACUUGACUAUGAUGAGAAAUGGGUAAGGUUUGUUAGAUUGUUGCUUAUAACUUAGAUACCUUAGUUCGUGGUAAGAAAUGGGCAGGAACUGGCCAAGUUACCAUCCAUAAAUAUGGGUGCCACAACAUAACUUGAUAGCCGCAACAUAUUGAUAAAAAACUGAUUACGAUGGUUGGUUAACUAAAGUAGAAGUGGGUAUAAAAGUAUCUUUUGGUUGCUAGUGUAGGUGCAGGAAAGUGGGUUUCUCAAAAAAUCUGCACACCAGAAGAGGGAAAAGGAGCAAAGUAUCUACAGAGAUUCUAAUGCAAGAAGGAUUCAUAUUGGGCUGGGCCAGUCAAGGCACCACUGAUUCAGCUGUAUUUUAAGUGGAUUGGGCCAAUGUUUUCUACAAGCUAGCUGGUUGAUCCAUGGUUCACCAUACGGACUGCACCAGUUGGUACCAGCCUACCAGGUAAUAAUGUAUCAUACCAACAACAAACUGAUACUCUUUAUUGGGGCAUAUUGAGUAUUGAUAACGAGCCAACUACACUGACACUGUAUUGGGUAUAAUAACCGUACAUGUAUCAAAACGGGUUCUACGAACUAUGGUUGGGUCAUAAUUCUUUGGCUCAAGCAAAGUUGAGGUUUAUAAGCCCAAUAUCCCUGCCUAUUAUUUGCAAUAGUAUGUACAUAUACAUUAGUUGUAUAUACUACAAAUAUAUAUUGUAUAGAUACGAUACUAAAUGUUAUCUAUAAUAUAAGAUAACUAGUUGUUUAGACUUUGAGGAAUUAUU